GUGGGGAAUAUUGGGCAAUGGGCGAAAGCCUGACCCAGCAACGCCGCGUGAAGGAAGAAGGUCUUCGGAUCGUAAACUUCUAUCCUUGGUGAAGAUAAUGACGGUAGCCAAGAAGGAAGCCCCGGCUAACUACGUGCCAGCAGCCGCGGUAAUACGUAGGGGGCAAGCGUUGUCCGGAAUGAUUGGGCGUAAAGGGCGCGUAGGCGGCCCGGUAAGUCUGAAGUGAAAGUCCUGCUUUUAAGGUGGGAAUUGCUUUGGAUACUGUCGGGCUUGAGUGCAGGAGAGGUAAGCGGAAUUCCCGGUGUAGCGGUGAAAUGCGUAGAGAUCGGGAGGAACACCAGUGGCGAAGGCGGCUUACUGGACUGUAACUGACGCUGAGGCGCGAAAGUGUGGGGAGCAAACAGGAUUAGAAACCCGGGUAGUCC
rnacentral:rRNA from 1 species